GGCCAGACUCCUACGGGAGGCAGCAGUGGGGGAUAUUGCACAAUGGGGGGAACCCUGAUGCAGCGACGCCGCGUGGGUGAAGGAGCACCUCGGUGCGUAAAGCCCUAUCGGCAGGGAAGAAACAGACGGUACCUGACUAAGAAGCCCCGGCUAACUACGUGCCAGCAGCCGCGGUAAUACGUAGGGGGCAAGCGUUAUCCGGAUUCACUGGGUGUAAAGGGAGCGUAGACGGCGACGCAAGUCUGGAGUGAAAGCCCGCGGCCCAACCGCGGGACUGCAUUGGGAACUACCGGGCUGGAGUGCCGGAGAGGUAGGCGGAAUUCCUAGUGUAGCGGUGAAAUGCGUAGAUAUUAGGAGGAACACCAGUGGCGAAGGCGGCCUACUGGACGGUGACUGACGCUGAGGCUCGAAAGCGUGGGGAGCAAACAGGAUUAGAUACCCGUGUAC
rnacentral:rRNA from 1 species